rnacentral:lncRNA from 1 species
CCAUAUGGAGCUUCAGGAUCCAGACCUCCACCCCAAUUUGAUGCAGGACGAUACUCCGACGCCUCCUACGCUUUCACGAAUGACUACUAUCAAGAGGCCGGUGCUUUCUUCACUCGUACCGACAACACCCUCCUCAACAUCUAGAACACGCAAGCAGAACAUGGAAGACUCCUGGAAGAGUAACAAAAAUGGAACCAGGACCAUGCCGCUACAGUAGAAGAGCUGAGACAAGAUACAACAACAAUGAAUGACAACAUCACAACCAUGAUGCGGUUCUGGAACA